UACGAAGGGGGCUAGCGUUACUCGGAAUUACUGGGCGUAAAGGGCGCGUAGGCGGCGCUCCAAGUUAGGCGUGAAAGUCCUGGGCUCAACCUGGGAACUGCGCUUAAGACUGGAGUGCUUGAGGAUGGAAGAGGGUCGUGGAAUUCCCAGUGUAGAGGUGAAAUUCGUAGAUAUUCGGAAGAACACCAGUGGCGAAGGCGACACACUGGGCCAUUACUGACGCUGAGGCGCGAAAGCGUGGGGAGCAAACAGG
rnacentral:rRNA from 1 species